UGGGGAAUUUUGGACAAUGGGCGAAAGCCUGAUCCAGCAAUGCCGCGUGUGUGAAGAAGGCCUUAUGGUUGUAAAGCACUUUAAGCGAGGAGGAGGCUACUAGUAUUAAUACUACUGGAUAGUGGACGUUACUCGCAGAAUAAGCACCGGCUAACUCUGUGCCAGCAACCGCGGUAAUACAGAGGGUGCGAGCGUUAAUCGGAUUUACUGGGCGUAAAGCGUGCGUAGGCGGCCAUUUAAGUCAAAUGUGAAAUCCCCGAGCUUAACUUGGGAAUUGCAUUCGAUACUGGAUGGCUAGAGUAUGGGAGAGGAUGGUAGAAUUCCAGGUGUAGCGGUGAAAUGCGUAGAGAUCUGGAGGAAUACCGAUGGCGAAGGCAGCCAUCUGGCCUAAUACUGACGCUGAGGUACGAAAGCAUGGGGAGCAAACAGGAUUAGGAUACCCUGGUAGUCCAUGCCGUAAACGAUGUCUACUAGCCGUUGGGGCCUUUGAGGCUUUAGUGGCGCAGCUUAACGCGAUAAGUAGACCGCCUGGGGAGUACGGUCGCAAGACUAAAACUUAAAUGAAUUGACGGGGUCAUAGCUGUUUCCUG
rnacentral:rRNA from 1 species